rnacentral:rRNA from 1 species
AGUGAACGCUGGCGUCGUGCUUAACACAUGCAAGUCGAACGAGAACGGAAUAUAGCUUGCUAUAUUUGUCAGCUAAGUGGCGCACGGGUGAGUAAUGUAUAGAUAACCUGCCCUUAAGAAAGGAAUAACAGUUGGAAACGACUGCUAAUGCCCUAUAUGCCUUUAAUACAUAAGUAUGCAAGGGAAACGCUUUAGUGCUUAAGGAUGGGUCUGUCUGGUAUCAGCUUGUUGGUGAGGUAAUGGUUCACCAAGGCUAUGACGCCUAACUGGUUUGAGAGGAUGAUCAGUCACACUGGAACUGAGACACGGUCCAGACUCCUACGGGAGGCAGCAGUGGGGAAUAUUGCACAAUGGACGAAAGUCUGAUGCAGCAACGCCGCGUGGAGGAUGACACAUUUCGGUGCGUAAACUCCUUUUAUAUAGGAAGAUAAUGACGGUACUAUAUGAAUAAGCACCGGCUAACUCCGUGCCAGCAGCCGCCGUAA